GCCCUGCUGAGGAAUUCCACAACAGGAUGAAACGGCCGUCCAGUGC
rnacentral:hammerhead_ribozyme from 1 species